rnacentral:rRNA from 1 species
GACGAACGCUGGCGGCGUGCCUAAUACAUGCAAGUCGAGCGAAGUUUUUCUGGUGCUUGCACCGGAAAAACUUAGCGGCGAACGGGUGAGUAACACGUAAAGAACCUGCCUCAUAGACUGGGACAACUAUUGGAAACGAUAGCUAAUACCGGAUAAUAGCAUUAACUGCAUGGUUGAUGUUUAAAAGUUGGUUUUGCUAACACUAUGAGAUGGCUUUGCGGUGCAUUAGCUAGUUGGUGGGGUAAAGGCCUACCAAGGCGACGAUGCAUAGCCGACCUGAGAGGGUGAUCGGCCACACUGGGACUGAGACACGGCCCAGACUCCUACGGGAGGCAGCAGUAGGGAAUCUUCCGCAAUGGGCGAAAGCCUGACGGAGCAACGCCGCGUUAGUGAAGAAGGAUUUCGGUUCGUAAAGCUCUGUUGUUAGGGAAGAAUGAUUGUGUAGUAACUAUACACAGUAGAGACGGUACCUAACCAGAAAGCCACGGCUAACUACGUG